AUGCCAACACUGCCUUCGCCUUCCCCGGAACAAACGCGCUCCUUACUCUGUGCGCUAUGCCGGUCCUCACCAGUCCACUACCGUGGCAAUCUGCACUGGUUUUUGUACAAGUCCAAUCUUCCUGGCAGCAGCAGCACCGGAGACAUUAUUGUGUUCGACACAGAAGCCGAGUCAUUCCGCUGGAUGAGAAACCCUGCCCACAACAGCAUCAUGAACAGGUUGUUUGACAUGGAGGGCACGCCUGCUUUUCUAGGCACGUCGGCUCAUCUCAACACCGCCACCACCGCCAUGGAUGUUUGGGUGAUGCAGGACUACGAGGCUGAAACCUGGGCCUUCAGGUACCGGAUCGACGUGUCGAUGAUAGAGGCGUCACGGCUGCUUGAUUCAGCUUCUCCCAAAGAGACAAGCAAAAGGAAUCUACCACUUGAUUCAACAAUGAGAUUUCUCAGUGGGAUGACUCCGCUUAAUGAGCGCGAGCUGCUGGUCAGCUUUAAUGAUAAACAUGUCUUGCGUUGCGACACUGACGGCAAGUUCUUAGGGCUGGUGACCAUUGGUAAGAAACAGUAUUGUAUGGAGCUUACCGACCAUCGCCUCCAAGAGAGCAUUAUGCCGGUUCCGUCCAGUGAGAUGCAAGGAGAAGAUGAGGAUUUUCCAUUCUCCACAGAGCAUGACUUCUGA
rnacentral:rRNA from 1 species